rnacentral:lncRNA from 1 species
GGACCAAGAUCGAGUUGCCAAGUCACGGGAAACUCCUACGAAAACCCUAAACAAUCAGAUCCGAAACGAAACAGAAAAAUUAAAAGAUUAGAACUUUGAAUUUUCAGAUUUGAAAUAAAAUCCCCAAAUCAGCAAAGAAUCAAAUUGAGAAUAGAAAUAAGUGUUAGGGUUCUUGAAACCCUCAAGGAGAUUGUGAUUCUGCCCAAUUGAACACCAAGAUAGUUUUCCCCAAAUUUCGACAAUCUAAUUUCACCCAAAAAGAGUAUGGAAAAACCCUAGAAAUUGGGAAUUUUUGGGCUGAUUCCUUAAG